UACGGAGGGGGCUAGCGUUGUUCGGAAUUACUGGGCGUAAAGCGCACGUAGGCGGCUUUGCAAGUCAGAGGUGAAAGCCCGGGGCUCAACCCCGGAAUUGCCUUUGAGACUGCAUCGCUAGAAUUGUGGAGAGGUAAGUGGAAUUCCGAGUGUAGAGGUGAAAUUCGUAGAUAUUCGGAAGAACACCAGUGGCGAAGGCGACUUACUGGACACAUAUUGACGCUGAGGUGCGAAAGCGUGGGGAGCAAACACG
rnacentral:rRNA from 1 species